CAUUUUCUGAUUUAUCAUCAAUAAUUACAUCAGCGAAAUGAGUUUCACGAAAAAAUCUGCUUACAUAAUUGUACAAAAGGCAAUCAAAGUUUCAAAUUCGAACUCGAUUUUCUCAAAAACUGUCGGCCAGAGAAACUUCAAAAUCGCAGGAUUGAAUUCAGCUUUUAUGUCUCUACAAACCAACAGAGUCUAAACUUCAUUACUUACAUGUUUGAGUCUUUUGUAGCACUUUUUGUUUUACAUUUGCAAGCUUAACCAGAAAAUUGAUUUAUUUACCAAGAAAUGGGUUAGAAUGAGUUUGUUUUGUUGAAUAAGUUGUUACUCGGGUUAAUCAUGACACAAAUAAACUAAUGGUCAUUUGUUUGAGUGCAUUGAAUUUUCAAUUAGUAAAAGGUUUAAGUUGGUGAGAGAAUGCUGACUGUAGAUGGCUCGCGAUGGCCACACUUGAAAAUUGACUUAACUCUGAUCUGUAUUUGUUAACUUAGCCCUAACACUUACUGUCAAUAUUCAAAAAGCUGCUGAUUAUGUUCAAAGUCAUUGUAUAAGUUUAAUACGUUUACAAUGAAAAGUUUUGAUAGAAAUUUAAUUUUCAGGGUUUUUAAAUUUAAAUUAAUUUUUAAAUAACACGGAUUAGUCACAGUCGCUUGUAGUGAGUGAAUGAAAUUAAAUUUACGUUGGUGCAACAACGUAAAUGACUAAUUAGGAAGAAUAUCAAAGUUUAAAUUUAAAAAAUUUGCUUCUUCUUUAAAUUUAAAAGAUAAAAUUUCCCCGAAUUGGAUCCACUUCAUAUGGAUGAUUGUUCUUGAUUUUACCAAAAAAGCCUUUCCCAUUAAAUUAUCGUUUAAUUUGGUCGAGAUGUUCGAAUAGAGAAAAAUUAAGGAACAAUAAUCAUGUAAAAACACCAAUUACUUGGGAUAAUUGAUUGAAGGUUUUAAUUGCAAAUUAAUUUACUAAAUUCCCGCUGUUGGAUUAAAAGUUUUAUUUCAAUUUUUAAAAGCUAAAAACUGGUUUCAUGAAAAUGCUACGAAAUUGAAUUUAUUUAUGGCGAUGGACCAAAGUGCCAUAAAACAAUGAAAAAAUUGUAUCCUGCAAGCAUUCAUCAGCUUGAAGUUAAUGAAUCACAAGGGGACAAGAAAAAACAGAUUUAUUUGUGAAUAUGAUUCCUGUGGAUGUCUUUUGACAACAAAACUAAGGUAAUCAACCAUUUGGAAAAAAAGUUCACAAUUUCGUGUUCGAUUUGUGGACACAUAACCCAAACAAUAGAGUUAUUGCGAAAACAUUUAGGUGCAAGAAAAGAUUUCACUGCGACACAUUUGGAAGUUAAAUUUAAAGUUUUACAGAAACUCUUAAAGCGGUUCAAAAACAGACGGUCAGUGUUAUUCCGGUCGAUUUUAAAAAAUUCAAUUUCUACUCCGAUUUUGAUUGCAAAAACUUUUUAAUCCCGAUAAGUUAGAAUAAUUUCUCAACUGGAGAAUUAAAUUUAAAUUGGAAUUCUGUUCAACAGGCGAUAUCACAAAUUCCGUCUUCAGUAACCAAAUGUCCUAUCCAGCUUUAUAGCACUUGGAAAACCAGAAAAUUUAAUUUUAAUUUAUUGAACUUUUUCAAGUGUCAAGCCAGGCUUAAUGCAAUUUUAAUAAAAACUUGAAAUAUUUAGUAGUCCAAGACACUUUAACGAGCAUUAUGAGUGUAAAACAUUUGGAACCAAAUGCUAGAAAAAAAGUUAAUGCAGUUCAAGAGCUUCAAAUUACGAUAAACUGAGAUCAGUUCUCAGAGACUACGAUUAAGUUGUGAGUAAAUUCAUGCGAUAAUCAAGGUUUUUUCUCCUAUUUCUGUUUCAUCACUGAGGAAACCAAAAUACUAUUAACAUCUCAUUGGAUUCGGAAAAGCCAGGAAGAAACUUUUUUAAAGUUUUUUACAUUUGAAAAAAUCGACUUUUUAAUUUUUAAAGAUCAUUAAAUAUUUAAUAUUAUAUUCACAAAAAUGAUCAUUUUUGUGGAGUACUGAGACUGGGUUUGUUGUCAAAAAUAGAACACCUUUUGAAUUUAAAUUUCGUUUUUAUUUUGGUUUUGAUUAAGAUUUGAAUUCUCGAAAUCAUUUUUAGUGGAAAUGAUCGGUCAAUCUCAAUUUUUAAGAGACGCAUUUAAGAUAAGUAACGAAAUGCAACAUUUUUAACUUUAAUCCAGGAUUCUAAUAAAGGGCAAAGCUCGUUACUUUUUACAGACAAUCUCAUUAGAACAUUUGAAAGCUGCAGUUUUAAUCGCGAAUCGAAAAUGUUAGUCGCUUCAUUUUUAACAUUUUUCAUCUAUUUUAAGACUUUUUAAAACUCUUUCAAAUUUUCCAUAAGUACUUUGCCACAAUAAUAACAGUAAAACCAUUAUAUUUAACGAAAUUUUAUAAAUAUUUAACUUUUCGAGUUCGUUCGCAAGGCUUAUGAACCGUGUACUCAAAAAUGAUCUGCAAUCGUCACUAGAUACAUCAAGACAAUUUUAAGUUUAAAAACCGAAAAGAGUACAUAUUUAAUAUUGCGGUUCCAAACUUCGAAGGUGACAAUUAAAUGAAGCUGGCAAAAACUCUUUGGAGUUUUCGGCAAUUGAUAUCGAAGAUCUCGCAACAUUUAUCACAGUGCAACAAUACGAUUCACCUUUGAUAGAUCGACUGGCAAAUAGUGUCUUUUUCUAAUAACGACAAUUUUAAAAUCGACCAAAAGGUUGAAAUUCGGUUGAAAUUUAGUCUCUAUGAGUAAAGCAGAGAAAAGGGUUAGAGUUGCUAUCCAUUUUGUUUUAUUCAAAGCGACAAGUUUUCUCAAGGAAACUCUUCUCGAAAAAAUGUUCUCAAUUUAAAAAAAGUUGAAAUUAAUUUUUCAAGCCAAAUCUUGAAAGGCUUUUUUGAUGUCAUUAAAAUUGCUUCAUAAAAAUAUAUUCAAUUUCAGUCAAAUUUUGAAUCGUUUUUGGCAUUUUGUUGAGCCGUUGACUUUGAAAAUCUUAUCUUGAUAAAUCAUCUCAUACAUUACUUCAAUACGGCAUAAAAAUUCAAAUUUAAAACAAGUCCGUGUUACACUAAACAAGAAGUAAAUUAAUGUCAUAAAAGACCCUUUUUAAAUUAUUUUUUAAAAAAUAUAUUCGAUUUUGAUUGCGCUUUCUUUAGUUUUUUUAGCUUUUAAAAUUUACUUCAAUCUUUCUGUGAUCAGGUAUCUAGUCACCAAUACCUUGGGGUAUCUGAAUAGCUCUUGAAGUUUUUUAAAAUUGUUGAAACAUUCAAAUUGAAAUGAAUUCUGAGUCUCUGAAAAAGUUGUUUCGAGAUAUGAAAUUUGUGGUUUUUUGAUGUCAAAAAAGUCCCUUUUUAAAUUAAUUUUUAAAAAAUAUAUUCGAUUUAAAUUGCGCUUUCUUUAGUACUUUUAGCUUUUAAAAUUUACUUCAGUCUUUCUGUGAUCAGGUAUCUAGUCACCAAGACUUGGAAAAUCUGAAUAGCUCUUGAAGCUCAUUAGACAAAUGAGCAUUUCAUAAAACAUUCAGAAGAAUGAGUUCUGGUUCUCUUUUUUGCACAUGGUAUUCCCAAAUUUGAAUGGUUAACUCGAGAUUUGAGGUCUUUUUUUGUGUCAUCAUGCGCGCUCUCUAAAGCUUUUUUAGCUUUUAAAAUUUACUUCAAUCUUUCUGUGAUCAGGUAUCUAGUCACCACGGCUUGGAAUAUCUGACUGUCUCAAGUAAAAUAUUUAAAAUUGUUAAAACAUCCAAGAGGAAAGAGUUCCGAAUCUCAAGCAAUCGACUAAUGUCGCUUAUAUGAAGUUUUUAAAAUUAAAUUUCCUUUCUGACUCAAAGUCAAUCACAGGAAUACCAAUUGUUCGAACAAAGAUUGCAAAUAACUGUUUAAGGUUCACCUUAAUUGCUAUUAAGAUCUCUUUUGUGUGUAAGAGAACGUUUGCAACGACUUAAAAUGAGAGAGGUUCCGGUAUUGUUGCUUGGCAAUCGAAUUGUCCGGACUUGUAACGGUUGCACUUUAGUUGAAUGUUAAAUGCUUAGAAAAUGAAAAAUGAACCAUUUAACGUUUUCAAUGAUUUUUUGUUCCUUCAAUAAGAAACCAUUGAACGGCCAAUAUUGCUGCUAAAAAACUGAUCUCCUGAUAGCGUUGUUUUUUUAUCGUUUGAUGGGUCAGAUGACGAACACAUUUACCAUAUAAACAUAACGUUCUUUUCGACUUCGCCAGCCUAGAGACUGUGAUCAAAGUAAAGAAGAAUUUUAAAUUUAAACAAAAGCUUUUAAUUUCAAAGAAGAUUCGGUUGAAACUAAAAUAUAAUUUGAAAUUUUCAUGUGUUGUUGAAUCUCAAACUAGUGGUUGUUCCUUUUCUUGGACCUUUUCGAUGAUUGUGCCAUUGUACGAUAAUAUUCAAGUGAACCCUUGGAAUAUUUUCAGGAACGUCUUCAUGCGAUUCAAGGAAAAAAUUCAGAUAAGCUCGCUAAAGACCCUAGAUAAACUGUUCUUUUCCCUGUGACUAUUACAAGAUUUAAAUUUUAAAAAAAUGACUUUUAAUUUCCAAUGAAAACUCAUUAAAAUGGGCGAAGUUUAUUAUUUGGAAGUGCUAAUAACUUGAGCAAGAUUUGCUAAACGACUUUUUGAAUUUCUUUUAUUGGUUUAUCUAAUUCCGUUUCUACUGUGAGAGAUUACUAUCAGCGAUAAUGAUUUAUAUUCAAAUUUAUUCCCGUGCUUUAAUCAAAGCAGGUCAAUCGGUCUAGAAAAACAUUUAAAUCUAUUGAUUAUUGCAUGGGUUCUGAAGAUAGCUGAAUGCAAUUGAAAUUUCUUAGCUAUUAGAAGUUCUAAGAUUUUUAAAACGAAAAAAAGUCAUUGGCAUAAUAUUGGGUCAAACUGUUCUAACAUUAACCCUGCCAGUGAUAAAACAAAGUCGAAUCCUACUAAUGUUCAAAAAUAGUCGAAUAUUGUUGACCGAAACAUAAAACUUGAUUGAACGUCUAUUUGGAUAACAUCGAAAAUGUUUUUUUCAAAAGUCUUUUAAGGGUAUAAUAAUUGUUAUAAGAUGCGUUUCCGAAGAUAAAUAAACUUUUGAAGGUUCGUAAAAAAUUACUGAGAUUAGCCCAGUGAUAACUCAUGAAGUCUCUAAACUUGAAAUUUAAAAUUAAAAUUAAAAUUCUAAUGAUUAAAAACUUGAAAAAUUGCACUUUUCAUUUCAUGGACAUUUGUCUUAAAUCUAAAUUUAUUUUGCUGUCGUUUAAAACUACCGAUUGAGGUACAAUAUUCACUGUCUUUCUUGACAAGGAAAUGGAUUUUGUAUUUUUACUCAACAAUAUGUGAAUUCAGAUUUUUAUAUUGAAUUUGCUUACAAAAUAUCUCAGUGACUAGAUUAUUCCUUCAUCAGCUAUCGCUGGGUUAUGAAUUAGUAUUUGUAAAAUUUAAAUUUAAAUGUCGUUUUAAAUAGUAGCAAAAAAGGCAAUUCAGCUGAAGAUUCCGUUUAAGAUUUAGAUUUUGGAAAAGGUUUUUUUAAAAAUUUACUUUUGAAUUGUCUAAUUUUAUUAUUUAUUGCCAUUUAAAUUUCGAGUCUAUCCCGUCUUUUGAACCGCAUUAACACUCGACUGCCAUAAAGGUCUAACAGUCGGUUUGGGUUCGGUAAAAGAUUUUUGCAAGAUUCACACAAUUUUAUGAACCUUAAAGUCAAAAUCGAAAUUCUGUUUCUAUGAAUAUUAAUACUUAUUUUUUUCUCUCCCUCAAUUAGUCGAGGAUUUGAUUUCAUGAAACAUUAAGCUACUAGUGAAGUCCUCAGUAAACUUAUUACACUCCUAACAUUUUCAGCAAUUCUGAUAAAUGAUAGUUGGCUUUUAUGCAAUCCAAAUUUGCAUCUUCUAAGCAAAAAUUGUGUGAAAUUGAAAUGAUUUUGAUGUUGUUUAACAAUUAACUUCAACCGAGAAGACCCUUAAUCCAAACGGUAGAAGAAGCAGUGAUUCAGAAUUAUCUGGUUUUAAAUUUUUCUCAGGUGGAUUUGAAUGUUUUUAACAAAAUGUUCAACAUCAUUAAGGAACGAAUUUAAUUUAUGAGUCGAUUCGACUCACUAUAAAUACUUCAUCAUGUCAGGAUAUAUUAUAUUGAUUUAUUAAUUUCAUUAAAAACCAGUAAACUUUAUCUGGUUAGGAAUCUGAUUGUAGAACCAAAAAUCUUUAAAUGCAUGAUUUUUAACAUUUACGAUGCGUUAUUUUGAAAUUAGACGCUUGGAAUGAUUUAAAAAUGAAAUUUUAAAUUUAAUUUGAAAAAUUAAUUACAUUCUAUGUUUCUGGUUAACUUCAAUAUUUUAUUACAAAUAAAUGCCAUUUGUAAAAGCCGCCCUUUGAUUACAAACUGGUUAACUGUUGUUAGGUAACGGUUUUUUGGGUUGCUUAAUGGCGCCAGAAAACUGUAAGUCAUCUGUUUUCAAUAUGAGAUUUAUUCAUAUUAUUCAUCGUUUCUCAUUAAUCAGAGUUUAAUUUUUUGUGACUCUUUGCUUGAUUUUAUUGUUUGUUUGGAUUAAUACUUGUAUGGAGACGCUGAUUAAUCAAUGUUUUGCUUUGAAUCUUUGAAUCUUCAUGAAGGUAUGGUGUAUACACCUGAUAAAACCUGAUGUUUACCCAGUCUUCUUUUGGAAUAGGAUCUAUUUGUGCGGCGAUAUUUUUUCACUCUUUUUGGAGGCCUUACAUCUGAUACGGUUGAAUCGAUUGAACUAGUUGCACUUCGCCAGACGUAAUCUUGUAUUCCUGAUUUCACCCUCUCCAUUGAACUACUUGUAUAUCCACAUAACAGUAUAAAGGCGAAACAAACUACAAGUAAAAAAACGAGAACGUUUAUACGAACACGGGAUGGCUUCAUUUUUUGAAGCGUCAAAUAUAUGAAUCUCUGUUAUAUUUGCUAAGUGCGGAGCAUAGUUGACCAAGUUUAUCGUUAAUUUUGCUGAUGUGAGUGAAUAUACUGCAAACUUGAUGAAUGUUUUAUCCAUUGACCAGGAUUUUGGUUCACAACUACUGGUGUGAUUUCUUGAUAAAGAUUUGCAUGGAUUUCUUCAUCUAUCAUUUAAUAAUAAUUAGUCGGCAAUUUGCCCAAUGGAAUGACACAAGUUAAACAUUCACACAUUAAAUUACUCCAGUUAUCAAAUAAAGAAUCUUCUCCUUCUUCAAAGUCAAGGAAGAAAGUAGCCAAGCAAAAGUAAUGCUUAUCCUAUUGUUGGAAAGGGUUGGUUUAGCCCUUUCCAUUCAUUGUUAAAGUAGAAAUUGAAGAAAUGAAGACAGUCAAAUAGACAGUCAAGAGAAAGAGGAAAAUAUAUCUCACCAUUUCUCUUUCCUAUUUAGAGACAUAAAUUUCACUAUACAGUCGACUACCUAAAAUUGUCCCUUUAUUUUGCGACGAAAAAAAUGAGCGCGAUUUUCAAUGGUGAUAAAGUUUUAAUAAAAUCAAGUUUAAUUGA